rnacentral:lncRNA from 1 species
GUAAGUCCAUUAAACCUCCUUCUUUUGUAAAUUGUCCAAUCUUGGGUAUGUCUUUAUCAGCAAUAUGAAAACAGACUAAUACAGAGGGGUAGGUAUUUUUAUUUUUGCCGUUUUUUUUUUUCAGAUGGGAAAACAAAUCUAGAGUGGCUGAGUAAUCUAACCAGGGGAAACUGUUCACAGUGAAGUUACUGAGGUCAUCAGCUGCAAUCCCUGCUUCCUGUCUGCUCAAUGCUCUACGCUCAGAAUUUAGAACAGCACCUGGCAUAUGAAAGGCACAUUGCUUUCAUGACGGAGAUCUGAGGAUCCUUCUAAGAAAUUGUUUAUCCCCAGAGAAAAGACCUGAAGAUACUCACAUUUGUCAGCCACAGUAAAAGGAAGAGCUUACCACUCAAUCUCCUCUGCAAUAAAGCUCCCUAGCUGUUAAAUUUCACUCACAUACUCAAGGCUUCCAAUCAACUUUUUAAUAUCUCACACUUAAAAACUAAAUUGAGGAUGUCUUGAAUCUCCAGACAUUUCAGAAGUCUUUUUUUUUACAUGAACUAGAGAAACCAAAACAAAUAAUCAAAAUAAAUAAAUGAAUAAUGAGGCAGAAGAUAUAGAGAUUUAUAUACGCAUUGAAGGGAAACUGUAAGAAAAAAACCAAACAUAGCUAACAUCUUCAGAGACAGUACAGAAUGAACUGCAUCCAAAAGAUAAUGCAAUCAAGAAGAAACCACCAAAGAAAAUGAUAUCAAUAUGCUGAAGAGAUAUCUGUGCUCCCAUGUUUAUUGCAGCACUAUUCACAACAGCCAAGAUAUGGAAUCAAACUAAAUGGCCAUCUAUAGAUAAAUAAAGAAAAUGUGGUAUGUACGCAAUGGAAUACUAUUCAGCCAUAAAACAGAAUGAAAUCCUUUCAUUUGUGGCAACAUGGAUGAACCUGCAGGGUAUUACGUUAAGUGAAAUAAGCCAGGCAGAGUAAGACAAAUACUGCAUGAACUCACUCACAUGUGGAAUCUGAAAAAGUUGAUUUCAUGGAAGUAGAGAGUAGAAAAGUGGUAUUAAGAGACUGGGGAGGGGUAGGGGGAGCAGGGGCCUGGAUAGGUUAGUCAAUGAAUACAAAGUUAUAGUUAGGAAGAAACAUUUCUGUUGUUUCAUUACACAGUAGGGAGAUUACAGCAAAUAACAAUAUAGUGUAUAUCUCAAGAUACCUCGAAGAUUUUAAAUCUUAUCUCCACAAAGAAAUGAUAAAUGCUUAGAGUGAUGGAUAUGGUAAUUACCCCGAUUUGAUCAUUAUACAAUGUAUUCGUGCACUGGAACAUCACUACACACCCCAUAAAAAUACAAUUAUUGUUCGAUUAUAAAUACAACAUUAUUUUAAAAACUAUCAAAAGCAGAAAGAGUUGUACAAAAGUUAAAAUAUAAUGAUCAAUAAAAAAUAAGUUACAGGUAUGAUAUCAAAGAAAUCUCCCAAAAGAGAAAGCAAAAUUCAAAUAGGAGAAACAAAACAAAAUAAAUCAGAGGGGAGAAUGACUAAAAGAAAGAAUGGAGAAAAUGGGAAGAAAAAAUGAUAAACAGAUAACACCAGAGAAUUUCCAGACCUAAAAAUAAAAUUUUCCACAUAGAAAAGAGCUGAGAGUAAAACAAGAAAUUAAAAGGAAAAUCCAGGUUGUGAAAACCAGAUCACAAGAGAUAAAGAGUAGAUCCUACCAAAAGGAUAAAACAAUUUGAAAGAGAGAAAAUAUAUAAAUAUAUAUAUGGAUGUGCAUAUAUAUAAUUUAAAUCAAAGAGCAGAUAACAGAUGAGAUCAGCCCUCUCUAUAACUGAUAGAAGAAACUAGAAUAUUGGCUAUAAAUACUUAAUUAAAAAUUGUUUUCAAUAUAAAAUUUUAUACCCAAUCAAAUUAUUAAGUAUGAGGAUAGAAUAAAAACAUUUUCAAAUAUGCAAAUUUUAUCUAAAGUUUCUCAGAAUGCUUAGAAUAUCUCAGGAAGUUAUCAAACUAAGUCCCAGAAAAAUAAGUAAAUAUACUAAGGGUGAGAAAUGUAUGGGAUCCAGAAAUAGAGGGUUUAACACACAUAAGCUAAGGAACAUCCCUAAAUAACAUCAAUUAGGACACACAGGGAAUAAUUUUAAUUUUUUCCCCCAUGAUGUAUAACAAAGUGCAAUAUCAUGAGUAGGGUAUAAAAUUAUCUACCUCAUCAUUAUCUUUGAAUUAUAUAUUGCCUUUAAAUAUUUUACCAAUUUGAUACUCAAAAAUAGCUCACCAUUGCUUCACUUUGCAUGUCUUCGCAAACUGAGUUUUAAGAGUUUUUGCACAUAAGUUAUUGGCUUUUUUCCAUCUAUUGCUCAAAUAACUUUAAAUAUCUAUCUCUAUUUUAAGCCAGAGCAGCUCAGAGUUGCUUUUAUUGACUUACCACUUGAUAUUAUGUUUGAUAUUAAACCUACACUGAGGGAUGUUGUAAGAGAAAACCCACUGGUGUUACUGUGUUGACUACAAAGCUUUUGUUGAGGAUACAGCUAUUUUAUGACAUCAUACUCUCUGAGUGAGAAGUCAUAGACCUUGAUUCUGAAGCAAUUGCAUUAUUGUUGUCUUAUGAACACUGUUUCAUAUUCGUCUUCUAAUUUUGUUCUUUUUUUGAUAUAUAAAAAAUUAAAGACAAUAUGCAGUCAAAUAUUUGCAAUAUUUUCACUGAUAUUUUUCCAUUUAUUUUAUCUUUACAAAGCUUUCCUUUACCAUUUUCUCUUUUUUUCAGAGAUGCAGAGGUUGUUUAAUAUUAGGAAAUACAUUAAUAUUAUUUUAUGACUCUAAUAGACAAAAGCAGAAAAUCAUAUAUUUUCUAGAUACACUAGUUUAUUUGACUAGACAGAAGCUAAUUUACUAGUAUAAAAUUUUUAAAAUAAAAUUCAACUUUUUUCUUGCCAACAUUUAUUUUAGGUUCAAGGGGUACAUGUGCAGGUUUGUUACAUGUAUAAAUUGCAUGUUGCAUGGGUUUGGUGUAUAGAGAAUUUUGUCACCUAGUUAAUCAUCAUAGGUAGUUUCUAUCCUCACCCUCCUCCUAACCUCCUCUCUCAAAUAGGCCCCAGUGUCUAUUGCUCCCUUCUUUGUGUCCAUGUGUACUUAGUGUUUAGUUCCCACUUCCGAGUGAGAACGGUAUUUGGUUUUCUGCUUCUAUGUUAAUUUGCUUAGGAUAAUGGCCUCCAGCUUCAUCCAUGUUGUUGCAAAGGCCAUGAUUUCACUUUCAUAUGCUGUGUAGUAUUCCAUGGUGUUUAUAUACCGCAUUUUCUUUAUUCAGUCCACUGCUGAUGGGCAUCUAGGCUGGUUCCAUGUCUUUGCUAUUGUGAAUAGUGCUGUGAUGAACACAUGUAUGCAUGUGUCUUUAUGGUGAAAUGAUUUUCAAAUAGGAUAAACAUACACCUAUCUUUUUUCUUUUUUAAUAGUUUAAUUUAGUACAAUUGUUAAAAUUUUAGUCUACUAUUUAUUUUGAUACAUAGUAUGAAGAAAAGUUAAUACUUAGACUUUUUUCUAAAUAAAUAGCUAAUUUAUCCAUUGAUUAUCUGUUUAAUAAAACAUCUUUUGUUUCCCUGACAAUUGGUUUGAGUGUCUUCUUUUAUAUGCGAUAUUCUUGGAAAUACGAAGACUAUUUCAGAGUUCUCUGUUCCAUUGGUUUAAUCUACUGGUUCUUGUGCCAGAAAACAUUGUCUUAGUUAUUAUAAUUUUGAAAUUGGUUUAAAUAAUCUGUUAUGUAUGUCCUUUUUCACCUUUCAUCUAGGUGAAAAAGUUGCUUAGUGAUUUUUUCCUGUUUCCUCUUGCUCUUAAAUUUUAAAGUAAUUUUAUGUGUCUUAGAAAAAAGCUCAUUUCAAUUUUGUAAUUGACUUAAUUUGAAAUAACUGCCAUAUUCAUUUCUAAUUUGAACUAAAUGCCAUAUUAUGAGUCUUUUAUUAUAACUCAAUUUAAUAUAACUCAAUUUGAAAUAAACGCUGUAUUUACUAUGAGUCUUCUACUAUAAGAACAUAUUGUGUUUUGUCAUAUAUUCAAAGCUGCUUCUCUAUGCUGAAGUAGUUAUGUUGUUUCUUUCAGUCCCAUAUAUUAUUUAAGAAUGAGUGUUUUAUACUUCGUUUUUGCUAGUUUGAAUGCUGGUGUAUAGGAAAGCAAUUGUUUGUGUGUCUACUGUACAGUGGAACACUGGGUCCAAGAGUAUAAGCCUUGGAAUCAGUCAGAUCUGACCUCAAGUACCAAUGGACCUCAGGCCUUGGUAUUGUUUUUCUCAUUUAUAAAAUGAUUCUUUGUGAAAGCUGCCUAACUCAGAGCCUGGUACACAAAAUCUCCUUAAUAAAAGGCAGCCGAUAUAAUACCUUAAGCAUCACCAUUAUCAUCUCACUAUCUUAUACUUUAAUUAAUUCUGAGAUUUAAAUUAACUCUUCACAUUUCCUAGGUAUAUGAACAGAGCAUCUCUAUUAACAAUAAUGGUAUUUUCUAGAAUGAUACGUCACUUCUUUCAUGUUACAUGUGUCACACAUAACUUUCACAACAAUAUUAAAUAACAAUGUUCAUGGUAUAUAUCUUUGUCUUGACUUUUAUUUUAAUGGAACUAUUUUUAAUAGUAAACUCACUCAUUAAGUGUGAGUUUGACUUUUGGUUUAUGAUGUAUAUUCUCAAUAUUAAUAUUUAUCAUAAACUACUUUUAGUUUUCUAAGAUUUUAAACAGAAAGUGAUACUGAAAUUUUAGAAUGAGUUUCCAGAUCAUUUCAAAAGAAUUAAGCUUUUUCAUAUUGGAUACAGUUAUAUAGUAUAUUAUGUUAAUAAUGUUCAUAAUAUUAAGCCAUCUUUGCAUUCCUGGAAUAUUCUUCUUUGGUCAGGAUGGCUAUAUCUUUUAAUGUGCUGUUGAAUUUAAUUUCCCAGCAAUUAAUAUAAAAUUAAUUGCUAGUCAAUUUUUUAAAGCAUCAAAUAAAAGUUUUAGAUCAAUUUCAUUUAUGAAUAUAAAUGUAUAUUCAUUAUUCUGCUCCCCCACUCCCAUCCUGCUACUUCAUCAUGAAUUCAUUUUGGGUUGUCUCAUUGUCACCUUCUCUUUCAUAAUUUUGAUUACUCUGUCAUAUUUUUCUACAUUUUCUGGAGAAAUUCCUAUGGCUAUCCUUCACAACACAUUCAAUUUUCCAUGAUCUCAAUUCUGCUCUGUCACAACAGCAAUGUGUAUUUUAUUUGUGCUGCUGUAUUUUUGAUUCUGUAUUGUCUUUCCAUUUCCCACGUAUUUUCCUAUCCAUUCUGUAUCUUCUUGUUUCAACCCAGUGUGAAUUGCCCUGCUUUUUCUGUCUGCUUGUUUGGGAAAAUCCCCUUUUCAGGACUAGAGACACACACAACAUUGAUGCUAACGGGUCUGGAUCAAAGCCAAAUUGGCAGAAUCUAGCAGAUUUUUAUGGGACUCUACAAGACUAAAGGUGGAGGGUUUUAACUUUUCCUCCUUGCCUUGACCUCUAACACUCUGUAUAGAAGGGAUAUAUGUAAACUACAAAAUUCACAGUAAAUAGACAGGAAACUUGAAGUCUCUGAUUCUACUUGAAGAUCAUGGCUUCUGAAAAUUAGACCUCUUAAACAUUAGGCAUUGCUUCCAACAACUGCUUGCUCGCAGAAACGAAGAGAAAUGAAGAGGCUUCCUUCACUGUAGGUUCUAUCCUAUGGCAUCAGAACAAGAGCAAUCCUGCUUGCCUUAAAGUAGGUAUAAAAGUGCCAAGUGCUUCAUUUCUCUAUUUUUAUCUAUUCGUAGUUUAGAAAACAAACACAAAAAAUAAAAUCUGAACCACUUAUUACAGUAUCCUUAUAAUUGCUCUUUGAUGUAUACAAUCAUAUAUACAUACCCUCAGAAAUACCUGGUCAGAAAUUAGGAGUAGUAAAGAAGGACUACUACUGCUGAAUCCCAUCACUCAAAGUUUAAAUCCAUAUGUGAAGUUCACUAAAUGGAAUAUUUGUGAAAAUUUCUUGGCCAUUCUGACAAUUGGCUGAAAGUCAACUUUUUAUUGUUCCUUUAAUUUUUUUUUUUUUUUUUUGAGACAGGGUCUCUUUCUGUUACCCAGGCUGGGGUGCAGUGGCAUAAUCUCAGCUCACCACAACCUUUGCCUCCUAGGCUCAGGCAAUUCUCCCAUCUCAUUAAAUUUUUGUUUAUCCUCUAUGUCUUCAUAUAUUUUAGUGAGACUUUUGGAGAGUCCACCCGAGUGUCCAAUCACAAACCUAAAUUCCUUUUAACUGGACCAUUUAGUCCAUUUACAUUUAAAGUUAAUAUUGUUAUGUGUGAAUUUGAUCCUGUCAUUAUGAUGUUAGCUGGUUAUUUUGCUCAUUAAUUGAUGCAGUUUCUUCCUAGUCUCG